rfam:Triticum aestivum genome assembly, contig: Triticum_aestivum_CS42_TGACv1_scaffold_592907_7BS
GUAGUACUCCCUCCGUUCAGAAAUACUUAUCCGAGGAAUGGAUGUAUCUAGAUGUAUUUUAGUUCUAGAUACACCCAUUUAUAUCCAUUUCCACGACAAGUAUUUCCAAACGGAGGGAGUAUUAA